ensembl:snoRNA
UGAAUCAAUAUUGAGGACUGGUGGCUUACGAGUCUAGGAUGAAGAAUGCUUAUCGAGAAGUGUGAGGUACAA